rnacentral:rRNA from 1 species
AUACGUAGGGUGCAAGCGUUAAUCGGAAUUACUGGGCGUAAAGCGUGCGCAGGCGGUUUUGUAAGACAGUGGUGAAAUCCCCGGGCUCCACCUGAGAACUGCCAUUGUGACUGCAAGGCUGGAGUGCGGCAGAGGGGGAUGGAAUUCCGCGUGUAGCAGUGAAAUGCGUAGAUAUGCGGAGGAACACCGAUGGCGAAGGCAAUCCCCGGGGCCUGCACUGACGCUCAUGCACGAAAGCUGGGGGAGCAAACAGGAUUAGAUACCCUGGGAGUCCACGCCCUAAACGAUGUCAACUGGUUGUUGGGGAUUUAUUUUCUCAGUAACGAAGCUAACGCGUGAAGUUAACCGCCUGGGGAGUACGGCCGCAAGGUUAAAACUCAAAUGAGUUGGCGGGG